CCUACGGGGGGCUGCAGUCGAGAAUAUUUCACAAUGGACGAAAGUCUGAUGAAGCGACGCCGCGUGUACGAUGAAGUAUUUCGGUAUGUAAAGUACUUUUAUGUUGGAAAAACGAUGAUUGUACAACAUGAAUAAGGGGUUGCUAACUCUGUGCCAGCAGCAGCGGUAAUACAGAGACCCCAAGCGUUAUCCGGAAUCAUUGGGCGUAAAGGGUGAGUAGGUGGUAUUAUUAGUCGGGUGUUAAAGAUCAGGGGCUCAACCCCAGAUAUGCAUCCGAAACGGUAAAACUAGAAUAUUGGAGAGGUGAGUGGAACUCUAUGUGUAGGGGUAAAAUCCGUUGAUAUAUAGGGGAACACCAAAAGCGAAGGCAGCUCACUGGCCAAUUAUUGACACUGAAUCACGAAAGCGUGGGUAGCGAUCCGGCUUAGAUACCCCUGUAGUC
rnacentral:rRNA from 1 species